GAUGAAUAAUUGUGUACUAGAUGUAAACAAAAUGUAAUAUAUAUUAUAAAUUUUGUCCACCUAAUACUAAAUCUACACAUUCUAUUCAAAGAAAAUUCCUUCUAGGAUGCGUACAUCCCCAUUGUUCUCCAACUGAACCUCUUAAUUUACAAGGAGAAAGACAUUGGCAUGUCCUUGUAAAUCAGAUGACCAUGCGUAGCUGCCAAAUAAAUAAACAGCAUAAUAUAAUUAGAUGUCACUGCAGAAAUCAUUUUUAACAUGGAUCAACAUUUAAAGAAUCAAAUCAGAUUGCAAUAGAUGCUGUGUCAACUCUAAAAUGAUUUAAGAAUCAUAAACUUCGUUAAGCUUAAAACAUAGACAAACUAAGUCAUGAAUAUAGAAGGAAAGAAUAAGACUUGUAAGCAAACUCAGACAAUAAAAACAUAUGAAUUCACAGGAAACAGCAUUUCAAAUUUCAUUUAUAAGUUUCCAAGAGAUACCAUAGGUUAGAUUUCAACAUACCUAAAGCAGAAUUCAAAGAACUGAGACCAAAUAAAGGUAAGAAAACCAAAGGAGAAAACUCAGCAAAACUCAGAAAAAAGCAGCAACAGGUAAGCAGGAGAACAACAAUGAAGAAAACUCCAGAAUAAACUUCAGCUCAAGAACCAACUUAAAGAGCAUCUUCCUUUAACCAAUUUAUGUACGGCUGUCCCUUU
rnacentral:lncRNA from 1 species